GUGAACAGCUGUUGCACAAGAGUCAGUCGAUCCUAAGCCCUAGGAGAAAUCCGAAGCGAUGGUCUGCCGUUAACUCUCUAGUGCCCGCCGUCCCCUCCUCACCGGAGGGCGUCGCGCGGACGUCUUAUGAGCUGGCACCGUCUGGGCGAAAGGGAAUCCGGUUCCUAUUCCGGAACCCGGCCGCGGAACCGCUCCAAUUCGGGCCCUCAUCCG
rnacentral:rRNA from 1 species